rnacentral:lncRNA from 1 species
UUUUCUCAAAAAAAAAAUUGUGUGUACAUACAACAUAGCAGUUUACAAAUCCUUCAUCUAAUGAUAAUUUACAACAUAGAUUCACUAAAUAUAUCACACAACAAGGUUAAGAAGCAGUACAAUCUAGUUUACAUCAACAAAACAUAUAAACUUUCGAGGCUGCUGUUCAGGUUCUUCGUCAACUCUCCUGAUGGCAACUAUCAUGUCAUGGCGCGGGUUAUGAAGGGUAGCACUAUGUAGCCCACUACCCAAUCACACCUAGCAUAUUUAAAAGAACAUUAGAUUUUUGCAGAUUCAUAGAUAGUAAAGACAAGAGUACUACAAAAGUGUAAAAGCUGCAUUACAAAAUUGUAGUAUUACUUAUAACAGGAAAAAUAAUGAAAUGAAACAAACCAGUAUAUUAGUAUAGAAGGUGACAAGAUCUAGAAAUAUAAUUUAUUACGUGGGUUACAAAUUACUUCAUGGUUAUUAAGGUACAAGCUAAAUCAUAAAACAUGAACACCAACUGAACAUAAUACUAGUACUAAGUCACCUUAGUUUAUGCAAGCUAGAAUACUUCAUGCACCCAAUUAAUUAAGUAGGACAUGGGAUCUCAUCGGACUUACAUGUAUGCCAUGUAGUAACAAUCGCUAAGCUGUUUUGAUGGAAUUGCAAAAGGUAAGAUUUUUUUGGUUUGAUGUGAUCAAACAUCUCACCAGCACAUGUGAAAGACACGGCAAGGUUUCGAACUAGCACAAUCCAAUUAACAUCAACAUAACAUUUAACGAUUGAGGAGGUUGUUAUUCUGGUUCUCACCGUCGACCCUCCUGAUGGUAGCCCACUACCUAAUAAUACCAGCAUAUCUAUACCAACAAACUAUUUGAGGUUGUUAUUCAGGUUAUUGUCGUCAGCCCUCCUGAUGGUAGCCCGCUACCUAAUAAUACCUAGCAUAUUACAACAAAAUUAGACAUUAUAUAGUAGAAAUAAGAGAUUAGAACAAACAUAAAAAUAAAUGACAUGCUUUCCAAAAUUCUUAAAACAUACCAUGGCUACAAAUGAG